UGGGGAAUUUUGGACAAUGGGGGAAACCCUGAUCCAGCCAUCCCGCGUGUGCGAUGAAGGCCUUCGGGUUGUAAAGCACUUUUGGCAGGAAAGAAACGUCGCGGGUUAAUACCCCGCGAAACUGACGGUACCUGCAGAAUAAGCACCGGCUAACUACGUGCCAGCAGCCGCGGUAAUACGUAGGGUGCAAGCGUUAAUCGGAAUUACUGGGCGUAAAGCGUGCGCAGGCGGUUCGGAAAGAAAGAUGUGAAAUCCCAGAGCCUAACUUUGGAACUGCAUUUUUAACUACCGGGCUAGAGUGUGUCAGAGGGAGGUGGAAUUCCGCGUGUAGCAGUGAAAUGCGUAGAUAUGCGGAGGAACACCGAUGGCGAAGGCAGCCUCCUGGGAUAACACUGACGCUCAUGCACGAAAGCGUGGGGGAGCAAACAGGAUUAGAUACCCCUGGUAGUCCACGCCCUAAACGAUGUCAACUAGCUGUUGGGGGCCUUUCGGGCCUUGGUAGCGCAGCUAACGCGUGAAGUUGACCGCCUGGGGAGUACGGUCGCAAGAUUAAAACUCAAAGGAAUU
rnacentral:rRNA from 1 species